rnacentral:other from 1 species
GCGCCCCUGCGUUGAGCAAAUGGCAUUCAUGUUGCCUGAGCCGAUACUUGUCGAACGGGAGCCCCGCUACUCCGGUUGUGUGCGUCCCUGCAGAGGGAUACCUUUUACCGGAGUGCAGCGCCCACCUCUUGUUAGAGGGUUCGACAACGCAGUGCCACACCUCAACGCGGGGGCGCC